rnacentral:rRNA from 1 species
GACGAACGCUGGCGGCGUGCCUAAUACAUGCAAGUCGAACGCUUUUUCUUUCACCGGAGCUUGCUCCACCGAAAGAAAAAGAGUGGCGAACGGGUGAGUAACACGUGGGUAACCUGCCCAUCAGAAGGGGAUAACACUUUGAAACAGGUGCUAAUACCGUAUAACACUAUUUUCCGCAUGGAAGAAAGUUGAAAGGCGCUUUUGCGUCACUGAUGGAUGGACCCCCGGUGCAUUAGCUAGUUGGUGAGGUAACGGCUCACCAAGGCAACGAUGCAUAGCCGACCUGAGAGGGUGAUCGGCCACACUGGGACUGAGGCACGGCCCAGACUCCUACGGGAGGUAGCAGUAGGGAAUCUUCGGCAAUGGACGAAAGUCUGACCGAGCAACGCCGCGUGAGUGAAGAAGGUUUUCGGAUCGUAAAACUCUGUUGUUAGAGAAGAACAAGGAUGAGAGUAAAACGUUCAUCCCUUGACGGUAUCUAACCAGAAAGCCACGGCUAACUACGUGCCAGCCGCCGCGGUAA